GAUGAACGCUGGCGGCGUGCCUAAUACAUACAAGUAGAACGCUGAAGCUUGGUGCUUGCACCGAGCGGAUGAGUUGCGAACGGGUGAGUAACGCGUAGGUAACCUGCCUGGUAGCGGGGGAUAACUAUUGGAAACGAUAGCUAAUACCGCAUGACAACAGUUAUUGCAUGAUAACUGUUUAAAAGGGGCAAUUGCUCCACUACCAGAUGGACCUGCGUUGUAUUAGCUAGUUGGUGAGGUAACGGCUCACCAAGGCGACGAUACAUAGCCGACCUGAGAGGGUGAUCGGCCACACUGGGACUGAGACACGGCCCAGACUCCUACGGGAGGCAGCAGUAGGGAAUCUUCGGCAAUGGACGGAAGUCUGACCGAGCAACGCCGCGUGAGUGAAGAAGGUUUUCGGAUCGUAAAGCUCUGUUGUAAGAGAAGAACGAGUGUGAGAGUGGAAAGUUCACACUG
rnacentral:rRNA from 1 species